UCCCCAGAAUGGAAGGCAUCAACCACACAAUAUAAAAUAAUACACCCAUGGCCCUUGUUGUAUUCUCCGCAGUAUCUAAGCACAACUGAAGUCACGCUGUUCAUGCAUCAACUUGUCCUACUGUGCGGUUUGCUUGCUUAUUGCCCCUCAGUCUCCCAAGGUCCCCAGAGAGAAUUGGCUCUCCAGGCAAAGGCCCUUGUCUCUGUGCCUUGUGCUAUAUGACCACGGAACACAGCUUGAGAAAUAUAAUGUGUGAUGGAAAAAGGACAUGGACAUCCUGGUGAAAAAUAAUUGGAUGGCUGUUUCCAUGGAAACUGAUAGAGGGACAUCACUGAAUUCUUCUGAAGAAUAGCAAUUGAUAAUUGGAGCUUGGAACUGCGUGCUCUGUGACAGUGGCUUGGAUGGUGUCCUGAUGUGAAGCAUGUUCUUCUAACCUACAGAGCUCUCCUCGCUCCUCCCUGAACAGCCAGCCCUGGUUGUACUCAGCCGAAAUCAAUGCAAUCAAUGAAAACAGCACACAAGUUCCACUGAACUUUAUAGUCUAACAUAGGCCUGGAGCUUACAGUUUUAUUUAUUUAUUUAUAAGAUUUUAUUUGUUUAUUCAUGAGAGACACAGAGAAAGAGGCAGAGACACCAGCAGAGGAAGAAGCAGGCUCCCUGCAGGGAGCUGGAUGUGAGACUUGAUCCCAGAACCCGGGUGGAAGGGCGAUGCUCAACCGCUGAGCCACCCAGGCAUCGCUGGAGCUUAUAGUUUAUACGGACGUUUGGCAGGCAGCCCCGAUGCAGCCUACCAGGCUCUUACUUGGGAGGCAUCCUCCUCUAUAUUCGCCUCCCCCCGCCCCCCCUCCCCCUUGCCCCACGCUGUUCACGCAGGCCUGGAGCUCCUUGCCCCGGGUCAAUACGGAGCGAGCCGGCUGCCAAACAGAAAGAGCAAGGACUUAAGCGUUUGUUUUCCCACAACGCCGUCUGGUAUUUCCUGCAACUGCGAGUGAAUCGGCUGUUACCCUAAAAUAAGAAGUUGAAGAGAUAUGAAUGUCUUGGACAGCCUGCGCGCACACCCAGGGCAGCUCUUCUGUCUUUGUGAAGAUGCGCACAGACCAGCGAGCCCGUGAUAACCACCUGCCGAGUCAGCCAACAGCUGCCAGGACUCCGCUCCCGCCGCGCCCGCGAUCCCACCGCCUCGGCAGCCCCAGCCCGGCGCCUGCCCCUGCGAGCGAACCCUGCACCCUGCGCCUGGGGCUGGGGGUGUGAGGGACGCACUCCCGUCACCCACUUCUGUUGUAAGGCCCAGCAGUGUAACACGAGGAGGUUUUCUGGGCGCGCUUGACCUGUAUUCGGGAGCCGCUUAGGACGAGGUUCCUCUGGCUGCUCACAGAAGGCGAAGCCAGGGUUGCAAAGCAUCAGAAGGAUUCAGGCACCUGGCCCUGAACUUGGAGGUGCGGCGUGGCAAGGGGCGUGGGGGCGAGCCAAGGGGGACGGACGUCGCCCUACAACCAUAAAGAACGAGGUCCUGCGGCAGCAGGAAUGGGUUCGGGAGGGAGCCCCAGCUGCACACGGCGCUGCUCGGAGAGCCCAGCUGGCCGUGGGCCCUACUGGACGGGCGCCCACUAAUGCACGUUGUUGUGACCUCCUAAUGUGUGAUAACCUGCUCGCAACAAGAAAACAAAGAGUCUCAUGGAAAACUGCAGCCCCCAGAAAUGAAAAGGAGGCGGCAGGCACAUGAUGCCUGGGUAUUCUCUGACUGUUGGGAAUUGUGAUCCUUUUAAACAACGCUCUGCAGCUGAGCAGUGAGGGUAUUCGUUCUGGGGGUUUGACUUUUCAUGAACAGAGUUCACACUCCAAAGUGGCCAAGAGCCAGAGAGGGGGAAUCAGAGACUAUCCCUUCUCUGCCCAAAGGAGUUGCCAUAAAGGAUAGUCGGGGUUGUGGGUUUGAUUGGGGAGCAUCUGAAGUCAACAGACCACCAGUGGUAGAAUCAGAGGUGCUGGGUGCCUUCCUGCAGGAAGGUGAGGCCGGGCACUGCCGUUCACCUGGGCAUCUGGGAGCCCUGGGCCUGAGGGGAGCACUCCGUUCAGUUAUCAGCAAAUGGAAAGCAAGCAAUACUCAACCAAUCUUUUCUGCCAAAAAGAGAAGGCCAUACUACCCUGAAGGUCAGAAGAAAACCAUCAGCAGACAGCUGGCUACUCUGCCUGACAAUUUAUCCAAUGUCCACUUUACACACAGCCUUUGAGAGACAGGAGGCAGAGGUCAAGGUGCAGGGGAGAGGCCAGAAGAUGUUUCCUGGAGACCACACAUGAGGGCAAGCGGCAGAUGACGCAGGACUUAUUCUCAUCAGAUUAAGCUUAAUUAAAAUCUGUCACAUUAAACGGGCACAGGAUUAAUGCAAAUGUUGAGGGGGGGGGUCAAUGCACCAAAGAGAGAACUGGAAAUUUACUUUAGAAAUUACUGCACUUUUUAGAGAUUAGUGGCUUAUUAGACAU